ACUGGACAAUUGGAAAUUCGACGGCGAGGCGAUUGUUUCGAAACACGAUUAUACGAAACUUUUCGAAAAUGUGUGCAACGCGUGCGCGUCGCGGUCGAUAAGCACUCUUCGAAAACGAGUCGGUCGAUGUGAGGAAGGCUUCUUCGAGAAUGGAAAUUUUAAAAGAAAAUUGGAAUCUGUUAGAAAAUCAAUUGAAAAUCGAAUGAAAUAUGAUAUAUUUAACAAGUAAUGUGCAAAGAAUUAAACAAUUUAAAUUAAUUUACGUAUUAAAUCCAAACUUGAUUUAAUGCUCCGCCCACUUUUGCAAAAAAAUCCAAGUUUUCAAGCAAAUUUUUGAUGUAAAUAACGUUUUUAUUUGAUUUUUCAAUAUUUUUAUUCAAUUUAUCGUUUUACAUACAAAAUAAAUUGAUUUUCUACCCAUAAUCUACAAUUCGCCAGUCGAUAUUCCCCCAGACAAUCGUGAGGUGUCCAGCAACCUGCACAUCUAAUUUGCUGGCAGUAUGCCAGUUUUCUCUGCACUCUCCACGUUUUGUGUGGUCUCUGAGUUGCUAUUAUUUUUUAAAUUAAAUUAAAUUAAUAAAUCUUUAUUUUCGGCGUUUUUAAAGUUUUUAAGCUAAAAAACUAGAUUUUCAGCACUAUGAGAAGCUCAAAAGGAGGUCGGGGACGUCAAGCGGCGCCAAAAACCGCUCCAACCACUGUCUGCUACUGCGACGGAAAGCGAGAGCUUGGCUCAGUGGAAGUAGUGUGCUCGACGUGUCUCAAAUGGUUCCACGGACGAUGUCUAAAAGAGUUUCACGAGUUUUCCAGAAACAGCAACGGCGUGCCUUUCAUGAUUUGCUACACGUUCACCUGCAAACAAUGCCGGCCGACGGCCGAAGAUUGGAAGGCUAAAAAGGCGGAUUUAGUGCAAAUGUGUGUUACAGUGCUCGCCACACUGUCCGCCGAGCGGCUUAAAGCCGACGGAAAGCUCUCGGCUGAGCAUGUUCCAGAGGAUUUUACAUAUUUAAGUCUGAAAGAUGAAAUUGUGCCAUAUAUGAAUGAGAAUUGGUAUAUGCUCACUGCAAUCAAGCAGAAAAAGGAAUGGCAUCAGAAUUUGGCGCCAACUUUGCUCAAAGAGAAGAAUAUUUUCGUGCAACACAACGACGAUGAUGAUCUAUUUGCAUUGGCAGAAAAGAAUUUAUCACUUCUAGGACCACUACACGAGGCAGUUAAACUAAUCGGAAAACGUCCAAUCGAAAGGGAAAACCGUGAGCCACGUCAUAUUGAGCUUCCACCGAUUGAGGGACCGAAAACUCGUGGAGCAUCGAAACGCCGGCACGCCGAGGCUCCGGUGACCGGAAAAAAGCAGAAAUUAGCAGCCGACUAUUCAUCAACUGCAGCUCCAAAUGGUGUUCAGAUUGAUAUACCAUUCAGUAAGGACAAUUAUCGAUAUUAUCUCACUGAAGUCGAUCCAAAUGUACCGGAAGAACCGAUUUUCCCGAUUUUUCUCGCUUUUUCGUUGUUCUACAUUGAAAUUUUCCCCAGCAUGGAAUCAAAAUCAAUCAUCAGCGUAUGUGAUACCAUCAUUUCAUUAUCGAGAACUAUUAAAUCCAACAGUAAAUGUAUCAUCAAAUGAUCGUGCAUUUCAAUUAUCGAUUAAUGGAAAUUCAAUAACUGGAUUUGAAGGAUAUUCAAUGGCACGUGCAAGUCAUGGUGUAUCUAAAGGAACAUGGUAUUUCGAAGUUAAUUUUGAUGAUCAACCUGAUGAUUCACAUAUUCGUAUUGGAUGGAGUCAGUCUUAUGCAUCCCUGCAAGCAUGUGUUGGAUACAACAAAUUCUCAUAUGGAUGGCGAUCGAAACACGGAACGAAAUUUCAUGAGGCAAAAGGAAAAAAGUAUCAUUUUGGAGGUUUUAAGCAAGGCGACGUUCUCGGCUGUCUAAUCCAUCUUCCAGUGGACAAAAAACUGCAGAUUCCGGCAAAUUUGCCAUCGGAAAAGUAUCUUCCAGUAUCACACAAAGGCUUCAAUUUGAUAUCAUUUAAAGCGAAUUAUUUCUUUGAAGUCCAAGAGGAGUCCGCAGAUAUUGCAAAGACUCUGGUGGAAAUGCCUGGAAGCUAUAUCGAGUUCUUCCACAAUGGAAAAUCGUGCGGAAAAGCAUAUGAGAAUAUCUACGCCGGCGCCUAUUACCCGUCGAUUUCCAUAUUUAAAUCUGCCACAGCCACCAUGAAUCUCGGCCCUAAAUUCCGUAAUCUGCCACGUGGUGCCACCGGAAUCCACGCGAGAGCCGACGAGCAGCAACACGAACAAACUCUUUCGGAUAUGCUGUAUUUGGUGUCAAAAGAAGUGAAUUUGGACCAUCCGCCGCGUGUAAAACGAGAGGACGAUGAUGACGUGAAGGAUAUCAAGAAAGAAAUUAAACAAGAAAUUUGAGAAAAUUGGCUGAAAAUUCAAUUUUAUUUGGAAUUUUUUUUCUCCUGUGAAUUACCAAAAUUUGUGUGCAAAUUUUCAAAAAAAUCUGAUUUUUUUUCGAUUUUUCAGACAUUUUCCUAUUUCUUUUUUCAACUAAUAUUAUUCCUGGCAAUGUGCCAAAUUUUCCUUAAAAAACCCUUUUUUUGUCAUUUUUCUCGAUUUUUCCCCAAAAAAUCCCUUAUGAGCUCCCAUUUUCCAUGGAAAUUCUAACAUUUUUCUCCGUAUUUAAUUAAUUUUUUUUGCUACUCUCCCGAUUAAUCUCUAAUGUUCAAUUUUUGAAUUUCCCGCCAACUCGUUUUUUGUACACUUUUUUUUCAGAAUAUCCCCACUAGCAAACCUACUUGAUUUUAUAAAUACAAAUUUCUGAAAAUUCUAUUUCUUUUUCAAAAAAAAAUGUAUUUUUGGUUGUAGAUCAUCCUGAGAAUAUUUUCACACUGAAAACCAUUUUAAAAACUCAAAAAUGACCAAUAAAUGGGUGGAGCC